CUCCACUUAAUAUUCAGCUCCGUCAAGACGGGAAAAAACCUCCUCAUUCUUCUUUUUUUCUUUUUUUUCGAAUAAAAUUAACAUCUACAUACUAAGUAGGAAGUUAAAAUUACAUCACGAGAAGUAGUAGCAUCCUCUUAAAUACUGCUUUAUGUUCUUGUGAAGUAGAAAUGCAAUAGAAGACUUAAGAAUAGCCUUGAAAAGAGCUUUAAGGAAUGAAAGCAUACAGAAUUUGUAAAAAAGCUAGACAAAGAUUUUAAUGCCUCAGAAACCCUGACCUGGAAUGAUGAAAUACAGUAGUGUUCCAUUCAAAGCAUGUAUUAGAUCUAACUCAUAAAAAAGCGUGCUCUGCAUCUUGCACAUGUCAGUCCCUGUUUGCACUGCUGCACUAAGUUCAAGGCACAGUUUUUAAAUUUACGUUUUCAUGUUUUUUUAUAAUGAAAAGAUUAAAAAUACACUACUAGUAAGGCAAGUAUUAAAAAUAGAGUUAAAUCCAGUAUAGUCAAAUAUCCAUCCUCAGGUGUCUUCUGGGCACAGACCAGGAACUAGUAUAACAUUGUCCACUCCAAUUUCUCCAGUUUUGCCUUUCCCACGUUCUGAUUCAAAGGUGAUACUGUUAGUUGUUUCAGCCCCCUGCAAUAUUUCUACUUUUCCAGUUCUCCACCUCUCAUCUUUUCCUUUGUCCUGCUCCCAGACAGGAGCAGUUUUUUUGUUGGCCAUGAACACUCGAAGUUUUCCCACUCUUUCGCCAGCGAGCCGAUAACUGAAAAUCAAGCAGUAGGUGCUCUUUGGUUUGAGGUCGCUCAGGAGAAGUUUUAGGCGGCCCAUAUCCUUCUUUUGACCCACAAAGGCUGGAACAGCCAUGUAGUACCCAUCACCUCUGUCUCGAUCAGCAGGAUUCCAGUCAAAGUCAUCACUAGUGUCUUGUUUCCAGUCACAGACUCCUCGACUGAAACUGCAGUCAACUUCAUGCUCUUGUCUUGUCACCGAAACUUUUCUUUGUGCCAGGAGAGGGCCAAAGGCAGCUGCUUCUUUACCCUGGGGAAAGAAGACAUCUCCUCUAAGGCUUUGCUCAUGGUCAACCUGAUUCUCAUAAUCUUCCUUCUCUUCCUCAUCUGUCUCAUCGACUUCCUCUUCUAUAGUAACUUCAGUUUUUUUCUCUCCCACAGUGUAACUCCCACCAAGAUCAAAACCGCCUUCAUAGUCCAGUGACUGCAAGCGGGUCUUAGAAGCCGGCGUCAUGGCUGCUUCUGGUAUCACAUUCUUGAUUGCUUUAUGCUUUGUCACGCUGUUUUUAUGUGCAAGGAGUUUCUUAAUUGUGUCCUUAGCUGUUCCAGGGAUUCUUGGAAUUUCCUUCACUGAUUUUUCUGGAAUAGCAGCACAAUCAAAUCCAUUUCCUUGGUAGCCCUGAUUACAUUUGCAUUUGAAGGAUCCCUCUGUGUUGAGGCACUCUGCGUGGAGGUUACACCUGUGUGCGGUUGUCACACAUUCAUUUACAUCUACACAGUCAUAAUGGCCACUGAUGUAUUUCAGCUCAUAACCAAGCUGGCACUUGCAGUAGUAGCUUCCAAAUGUGUUGACACAUCUGCGAUUGAAAGAGCAGACAGCUCUGCCAGUGGAGCAUUCAUCAAUAUCAAUGCAUGUCCUUCCAUUUGGUCCCAAAUGGAGGCCAACUGAUGGACAAAGACACUGUACCUCCUCUUUGACUUCCUCACAUCCGUACUGGCAAUUCGCAAUGGCACAUGUCCUAGAGCUUGCACAUGUGCCAUCUGGCAUGAGCAUGUAGCCGUUGAGACAAUAGCACUUGUAGCUGCCAUGUGUAUUCAUGCAUCUGUGUUCACAGGGACGUGGUUUCAGUCCACAUUCAUUCAGAUCUUGAUUACAGGUUUUUCCUGUAAAUCCAGGGUAACAUUUGCAUUUGUUUGGUCCCAUGCAUUCUCCAUACUUGCAGCCAUGUCCACAGAUAGCUUCACAGCGGCCCUUGUUGUUCUUUUUCCAGCCAUAACAGCAAUCCAGCCUAGAACCAUAGCGACACACCCCUGGCUGGCUCACAGUCACCAGCUGCCCACGAGCUCUUGAGCUGCCCGCGGCGGCCAGCGCGGCGGCGAGGAAGGCGGCGAGCAGGGCGCCCCCGGGCGCCGGCACCAUGGCCCGGCCGCGGCCGGUGAUACAGCAGACGCGACAGGCGGAGGCUCUGCUAGCGCUAAGGCAGCGGGCGGC
rnacentral:lncRNA from 1 species